rnacentral:ribozyme from 1 species
AGGCCAGCAAAUCCUAUCCCUACCUCCUCGCGAUACUGGCCGGGGUACGAGCAACUUUAGGGAAGAUCGGGUGACACAUCUCUGGUGGGAACUAUGGUCGUAUGCUGACAGGGACCG